rnacentral:tmRNA from 1 species
GGGGAUGUAAAGGUUUCGACGGGGAUUUCAAACCUUGGUAAGCGAGCGGCGGUGCGGAACCGCCAUAAAAUCCGCAACUUUAAAAUUAACUGACAACAAAACAGUUGCUUUAGCAGCCUGAGUGCUGCUCGUUCCUGCACAGAGUACCUCGGCUGUGUAAGGGGCGUCGAUUAGAGGUAAAUGUGAACAGGGGAGCGCUCCGAACCCUGUCACAGCUUAGGAGCUGCCAAAGUGCAUAGCCUGUUGAUGGGCGAUGCACCGAGGGAGAUUUAAAACAUCAACUGCGCUCGGAGAAACCCUUGGCAAGAUUUUUUCGGACAGGGGUUCGAUUCCCCUCAUCUCCACCA